UUUCACAGCACUGUUGUUUUGCUUUCAUGCUCACUGGAACUGAGGGGAUGUUGGUUAGAAUGAAAAAUCAGGGCAAUGGAAGAAAACAAAUAAGUGGCUUUAAUAAUCAGAAUUUCAUGAAGAAGUAGAUGUAAACUAUUGACUUCAUCCUUAACACUGAGAAAAAUUAGGGAUACUUUAUUUGAAGUAAUAAUAAAACUUGAUGGACUUCAAACAUAUUUAUUUCCUCGAGACUCCCUCAUCUGAGCCUCAAACCAAUUAUAUGGUUUCUGUAAAAGAGACCCAUGGUGCUGCUUUGCAAGCAAAGGUAUAAAACCCAGAAAUUUAAGGCAUGUAGAUUUUUUGACAUAUGUUAUGAAGAGAAAUUUCAUGCCAGUUAAGGCCUAGGCAAAGAAUAGCUAACUAAAUGGAAUUUACUUAAGAGUCACACAAAUUCACAGUGGUUUGAUGUCCUCACUUAACAAAAGGAGGAAAAUAACACCCAUUCCUCUUACCUGGCUGACUUAUUCAAGUGCACAGAAUAUUUCUAAAACAAUUACAUAACUAUUACUAUUAAAAGCCUUCACUUUCAUAGGAUUGUUUCAAAAAGUAAAAUUAAUACUGCUACUGGGGGAAAUAGUUUCAUUUUUGGAAAAUUAAAUUACUGUUAGAACUUCAAGCAUGCAUGUUAUU
rnacentral:lncRNA from 1 species